UACGGGGGGGGCAAGCGUUGUUCGGAAUUACUGGGCGUAAAGGGCUCGUAGGCGGCCAACUAAGUCAGACGUGAAAUCCCUCGGCUUAACCGGGGAACUGCGUCUGAUACUGGAUGGCUUGAGUUUGGGAGAGGGAUGCGGAAUUCCAGGUGUAGCGGUGAAAUGCGUAGAUAUCUGGAGGAACACCGGUGGCGAAGGCGGGUCUCUGGGCCGUUACUGACGCUGAGGAGCGAAAGCGUGGGGAGCGAACAGG
rnacentral:rRNA from 1 species